rnacentral:misc_RNA from 1 species
GAUGCAGAACGCAGCGAAAUGCGAUAAGUAAUGUGAAUUGCAGAAUUCAGUGAAUCAUCGAAUCUUUGAACGCACAUUGCGCCCGUCAGUAUUCUGGCGGGCAUGCCUGUUCGAGCGUCAUUACGCCCCUCAAGUCCCCUGUGGACUUGGUGUUGGGGAUCGGCGAGGCUGGUUUUCCAGCACAGCCGUCCCUUAAAUUAAUUGGCGGUCUCGCCGUGGCCCUCCUCUGCGCAGUAGUAAAACACUCGCAACAGGAGCCCGGCGCGGUCCACUGCCGUAAAACCCCCCAACUUUUUAUAGUUGACCUCGAAUCAGGUAGGACUACCCGCUGAACUUAAGCAUAUCAAUAAGCGGAGGA